GACGAACGCUGGCGGCGCGCCUAACACAUGCAAGUCGAACGGGCGAGAGGAGGUUUACUUUCUCAAGCGAGUGGCGAACGGGUGAGUAACGCGUGAGGAACCUGCCUCAAAGAGGGGGACAACAGUUGGAAACGACUGCUAAUACCGCAUAAGCCCACGACCCGGCAUCGGGUAGAGGGAAAAGGAGCAAUCCGCUUUGAGAUGGCCUCGCGUCCGAUUAGCUAGUUGGUGAGGUAAUGGCCCACCAAGGCGACGAUCGGUAGCCGGACUGAGAGGUUGAACGGCCACAUUGGGACUGAGACACGGCCCAGACUCCUACGGGAGGCAGCAGUGGGGAAUAUUGCACAAUGGGGGAAACCCUGAUGCAGCGACGCCGCGUGGAGGAAGAAGGUCUUCGGAUUGUAAACUCCUGUUGUUGAGGAAGAUAAUGACGGUACUCAACAAGGAAGUGACGGCUAACUACGUG
rnacentral:rRNA from 1 species